rnacentral:rRNA from 1 species
AGCCAGACUCCUACGGGAGGCAGCAGUGGGGAAUAUUGCACAAUGGGGGAAACCCUGAUGCAGCGACGCCGCGUGAGCGAUGAAGUAUUUCGGUAUGUAAAGCUCUAUCAGCAGGGAAGAAAAUGACGGUACCUGACUAAGAAGCCCCGGCUAACUACGUGCCAGCAGCCGCGGUAAUACGUAGGGGGCAAGCGUUAUCCGGAUUUACUGGGUGUAAAGGGAGCGUAGACGGCGGUGCAAGCCAGAUGUGAAAGCCCGGGGCUCAACCCCGGGACUGCUUUGGAAACUGUUCAACUGGAGUGCUGGAGAGGUAAGCGGAAUUCCUAGUGUAGCGGUGAAAUGCGUAGAUAUUAGGAGGAACACCAGUGGCGAAGGCGGCUUACUGGACAGUAACUGACGUUGAGGCUCGAAAGCGUGGGGAGCAAACAGGAUUAGAUACCCCCGUAAAG